rnacentral:snRNA from 1 species
GUGCUUGCUUCAGCAGCACGUAUAUUAAAAUUGGAAUGCUACGGAGAAGAUUAGCAUUGCCUUAGUGGAGGAUGAUUCGCAAAUUCAUAGGGCACUCCAUAUUCUU